rnacentral:rRNA from 1 species
GACGAACCGUGCAAACGUUAUUCGGAAUCACUGGGCAUAAAGGGCGCGUAGGCGGCUUUCUAAGUCAGGGGUGAAAUCCGGCAGCUCAACUGUCGCAGUGCCUUUGAUACUGGAGAGCUCGAGGGAGGUAGGGGUCUGUGGAACUUCCGGUGGAGCGGUGAAAUUCGUUGAUAUCGGAAGGAACGCCGGUGGCGAAAGCGACGGACUGGAUCUCUUCUGACGCUGAGGCGCGAAAGCCAGGGGAGCAAACGGG